rnacentral:misc_RNA from 1 species
UGAACAGUGAGUUAUCGAAGAACACUUCGAUAUUUGGAUUGAAAUUGUGGGUGGUGAUUGGGAUCUUUGUUGGAGCUGUAUUUGUUCUCAUAGUCUUCCUUCUAUCACUCUGUAUCACCGCUUCUCGCCGCCGCACUACCACCCAAAAAGGCAAACUCCACCGUCCUAUCAAUUCUGAGCUUACCCCAGUUGUCUCCAAGGAAAUCCAAGAGAUUGUCCACCAUGACACCGCCCAAGAUCACCGCCCCAUUGUCCUUCAGGCUGUGCCAGAAAUACAGAUCAACAUGGGGAAGGUGGAGCACAGAGUGGUGUUUUCAGACAAGAUGCCUGGGGCAUCAAGCGGUGAGAGCAGGGCG